CGAGACUGGUUUGGACUCGUAUUUUCUAUGGAAUAACAGUCCAGCGAACUCUAGUGUUGAAAACCCGAGGGGACCACGGGUUUAGAACGGCAUCACCUCCGCCUCUUUUCUCCUUCGAUCGUCUAUGCCUCGCUUCCUCUCUCCUUCGAUCAUCUACGCCCCUGCCUCCGCCUCUUUUCUCCUUCGAUCGUGUAUGACUCCUCCUUGGCUCUUCUCCUCAUCUCUUCAUCUCUUUUUCUUCGUUACCUUGAUGAUUGAUUACUGUAGUAGGUGAUCUUGAGUUUUUCAUAAGCUGUUUGAGUAGUGCUGCUGCCACUGAGUUUGAGAAUUGAGAUCAUCAAGUACAUACAUCUUUCUCUUGCAGAUAUCGGAGUUCAGAUCUUCGCCGUUGAUAUGCUCAAAUCUCUAGCUAGGCCAUGGUUUCGGAUAUCAGCUAUUUUAUACCCAGAAGUAUUGGAUCCUGAGCAAGUAGUGAAAGGGCUAUCUGGUAAUCUAAUACUAUCAGUUGGAUAUGCUGAAUGUUUUCUCUUCAAAAUUCCAGAUUUAGUAAGGUUGGCAUAGACUAUCAUGGCCUAAUAUAUUUUCAGUGUGUUUUAAUUACUGGCUAUUAGGGUGUUGUUUGAAACUUUGACUGAUGGGGUGGGGGAGCUUGGGCUUGGAGUUUUCUUGUUUUUGUGAAAUGGAUUUUGGAGGAUUAGGGUUUUUAGGGGAGUGUGUGAGUUUGUUUUUUGGUGGAAGAUAUGUGCAGAAGGGUUAUGAUGAUGAUGGGGGUGGGUUUUUGUGUUUUGUUAAUUCUUUUGUUUGUUGGAAGAAGAAUGGGAUAUUGUCGAUGGUUGGGGUUUUGCAGGGUGGGUUUUGGGAAAUAUCUGGUGUAGAAUUCAUGAUGUUUGUUUGUUUGUCCACAAAUCUUCUAGGGUUUAGUGUUGGAUCAACAAGUCUGAUUCAUACUAUGCAUUUUGAAUGUGCGAGCAAAGACUGCAUGUUAACUAUUUUUUUUGGGUGAUUAAUUGGAGAUUAUGAACAUCAGUUUCAAGUGCUGGUCCUUAUUACUAUCAGUUUAAAAUAUUUUUUCAAGUCUUAUGUGUGAGUUGGGUUCAAAAGCAAUUUUCUAAAAUCAUAUUUUAUUUUUAUUUUUAAUUAUGAAAAGUUUUUGUGUCAGUUGCUUUGAUCUGUUGUUUUAUGUUUUGAAAAUCUUCUUGUUACAAUUUUUAUUUGAAUAUUUUGCUGUUCUGACCUAGGAUGAUUGCAUCCGCUUGUUUGAGGUGGAACUGAGACCCUGUUUUCAGGGAGAACCCCUCGAUGAAGCUACAUUUCAUAUGACAUCAAUGGAUUUAACUGAGGUUUUUAAUCUGAAUUAUUGCAUCAAAAUCCAGUGUUUGUGUGUUUGGUUUUUGUAUAAUAAGAUUAGGUGCUAAGGAUGUUACAAUCCAACGUGUUUGAGGUGUAGAGGAAGCGAGAUAUGAGGUUCAUAUUUGUCUAACCGGGUUGGGAGGGUUCAGCAUUAGACUCUAUAGUUCUUAGAGAUGCGAUAUAUAGGCCAUAUGGGUUAAAGGUUCCGACGGGUAAGAUUAAUGUAUAUCAUAUAGUGUAGGUGUAAAUCAUCCUAAAUUUGAAUUUUAUUUUUUAAUUAGCUCCUAUUUAUUCUUUAUGUUAUUAUUACCUUGUGGAUGUUGGUUAUACAAAUUGUGAGAGAUUUCUUGCACCCUACAAAGGAAUGAGACAUCACUUAUCGGAAUGUAGAGAAGGAUGUGCACCCUUGGACCAUCGAGAAUACUUUAACAUGAAGCAUGCAUCAGCAAGAAACGUGGUGGAACAUUGUUUUGGACUUCUUAAGAUGCGUUGGGCAAUGUUAAGGAGUCCAUUGUUCUAUCCAAUACAAACCCAAUGCGAAUAAUAACGGGCUGUUGUCUUUUACACAACUCAAUUAGGAGAGAGAUGUCUAUAGAUCCAAUGGAGCAAGAAAUUUAUUAUGAUCCCCUCACUGAGAACAAUGUAGAUCAUGGCACUAUUGAUACCAUUGCAGCAUUCGACCAAUGAUCUGCAUGGAGGGAUAAUUUGGCUACUGAGAUGUUUUAAUGAUUUGAUGGCAAAUAAAGCAACAUAACAUAAGGUGUUGAUCAUUUGAAUGUACUUAAAAGAAUUUUCGUUUUAUUAUUAAUUUUGUGAAUUUUUGGACUAUUUUUAUGGUAUCUUAUGUGAUUUCUUAUUUUUAA